rnacentral:rRNA from 1 species
UACGGGGGGAGCAAGCGUUGUUCGGAUUUACUGGGCGUAAAGGGCGCGUAGGCGGCUUUAUAAGUCGGGGGUGAAAGCCUGUGGCUCAACCACAGAAUUGCCUUCGAUACUGUAGAGCUUGAGACCGGAAGAGGUAAGUGGAACUGCGAGUGUAGAGGUGAAAUUCGUAGAUAUUCGCAAGAACACCAGUGGCGAAGGCGGACUUACUGGUCCGGUUCUGACGCUGAGGCGCGAAAGCGUGGGGAGCAAACAGG